rnacentral:lncRNA from 1 species
UUUAUGGGUAAUUUUUUCUGUAAUUUCGGUACCUUAUGUCUAUAAUUCAGCAGAGAUCAAUCAUGAUUUGGAUAGUCAAUGUAGAGAUUAGUUAUCCUUCUAUAUUUGGCAUUGAAAUUUUAACCUUGGGAAGGAAUUUAAGCUCAAGUUACAUGACGCAACCAGACAAUACCUGCACAGGGGUACAAAAUCAAAUUACCAAAAAGUAAAUAAAUACUUGUAUAGCAUUUGUUAAAUUUAAAUGGCUAUAAUAUAUGGCGUUACCGAAAAUGGAAAAACAAUGUAGGAAGGUAAAAUAUAAGAAAAGCUACUUUGAUAUCUUCACUACACUUUCAUCCAUUUUUACCCAUUUCUUUAUCUCUUGUUUUUUUCUUUCUAUCAUAAAUGAUGAGAUUUCAUUAAUACACACACGACUUCAGCACUUGUUUGGUUUGUCUAUUUUCAUAUUCAAAGAGAACAGAAAAUAUAGCUUAAAUAUCUUUGGUUCAUAUUUAGAAAAUGUUUUCUUAGAAAAUAUUUUAUAAAAUAUGACUAAAACAAAAAAGAAAAGGAAGGAUCUAUUAACUCCAGGAGACAAUUAAAAAACUUACUCCAAGUCUCGACCCUCAAUCUUAUUAAAAACAAACGGCUGAGAUUAAAAUUUUAAAACAAUCAUGUGUAUUACAAACUCGACUAUUUAUUUAUUAAUCAAUUUUUACUAGAGUAACCACAUUUUAAAUGAGUCAAUAUUUCUUGGCAUAUUUCCGUGUUCAUGACGGGGUUGUAAAUUUGAUGCUCUUGUAAAUCUCUUUCAAUGAAAUAAUUUUCAUAAUUCUUUUUUGAUUCUUUGGAUAUCUUACAUUUUCAUAAGAAAGUGAAGGUAAACUUCCCACUACUUCCAAAUUCCAUCACAUUUUUUUCCCAUUUUGAAUUAAAUAAAAUUUAAAUAUAUUUUCAGAAAUGCUAAAUAUUCACCAAACACAUUUAUAAGUCUUAUGCGAAAAAUGACAUUUCCAGCCAUCACAUUUUCAGAAAUAUUAUUCCUUCACCCUUGUAACAAACGCUCAAUGUUGCAAUUUCAAUGAAAAAUGGAAAUAAGCAUAGUGUAAUUUAAAUCUUUUUUUUAAAGGAAAACGUAAUUUUUUUGUAUAUCGGAAAUAUAAAUUGCACCCUCUAGGAAUUGAUCAAUGGACCUCCCCACCCCAACCCAUAUGUCCCAUAACACUCUUACCAAUUGAGCUAAUCCAUAGAGGAUAGUGUAAUUUAAAUCUUAAUUGAAGUUGAUUAGUUACCAAACACCAUAAUUCAGAAUGUACAGAUGUUUUAAGUUAAUCACCCAAAACAAUGAAGAUAUUGUUGAAACUCAAAACAAUGAGGAUUAAUUUAUUAUUCUACUCAACCUCCAUAGCAGCAGAAUUUUCUUUGUCUAAGAAGCUCUUAAGUUCUUUAACUCUUUGCCUGGUCAAUGGAACACAGUCCUGAAACCACAAUAACAAUGGUUGUUAACUUCCCAUCUGUAUAAUUCGAUCCAACAUAAAGGUACCAUCGCUAUCAUUCAAUUUAGUAAAUGAUUCAUUACGAUACUAUAUAUUUGGUUUACUUUCAUUUCUUAUUUGUCCAAGAAAAAUAAAAUACUUUAUAAAAAAUUAAUAAAUCUGUUGGAUAUUCGAGAGUCACAAAUUUGUUAAUUUUAAGAGAUAUUUUCAAUCAUUCAAUUUUUUAGAUCUUGAAUUUUGAUGAACUUUUUUUCAUUUAAGCAUUUCAAGAAGAAUGUGAAUCUUCAAUUUUAAAUUACAAAACUCAUACCCUGAUACCCUAUUUUCAAUGUUUCGUAGUCUACGAUAGGUUCUGAUACCAAGAGGACUAACUCUAUCCCAAAAACACCCAAUUUCUAAUGCUAAAUCAAAAUUUGAUGAAGUUUCUAUGAGCAAAAGUGCUCAUUAUUUCAUUAGCAUGCUAAUCCAAAAUGAGGCAAAUAAUGUUAAUGCUAUAACUGUAAUACCAUAUGCAAACUAACCUGGAGAGCAGAAGUAUAGGCAAGAACUGGCCCGCCAGGCUUGU